rnacentral:rRNA from 1 species
UGCCCUAUACUGGGGAAUAAUCACUGGAAACGGUGACUAAUACCGCAUGUCAUUACGGAAGGGCAUCCUUCUGUAAGAAAAGGAGUAAUUCGGUAUAGGAUGGGCCCGCAUCUGAUUAGCUAGUUGGUGAGAUAACAGCCCACCAAGGCGACGAUCAGUAGCCGACCUGAGAGGGUGAUCGGCCACAUUGGGACUGAGACACGGCCCAAACUCCUACGGGAGGCAGCAGUGGGGAAUAUUGCACAAUGGGGGAAACCCUGAUGCAGCAACGCCGCGUGAAGGAAGAAGGUUUUCGGAUCGUAAACUUCUAUCAACAGGGACGAAGAAAGUGACGGUACCUGAAUAAGAAGCCCCGGCUAACUACGUGCCAGCAGCCGCGGUAAUACGUAGGGGGCAAGCGUUAUCCGGAAUUACUGGGUGUAAAGGGAGCGUAGGCGGCACGCCAAGCCAGAUGUGAAAGCCCGAGGCUUAACCUCCGGAUUGCAUUUGGAACUGGCGAGCUAGAGUACAGGAGAGGAAAGCGGAAUUCCUAGUGUAGCGGUGAAAUGCGUAGAUAUUAGGAAGAACACCAGUGGCGAAGGCGGCUUUCUGGACUGAAACUGACGCUGAGGCUCGGAAGCGUGGGGAGCAAACAGGAUUAGAUACCCUGGUAGUCCACGCCGUAAACGAUGAGUGCUAGGUGUCGGG